AGGACGGAAUGAAAGGCUUUUGAAGGUGGUGGCUCAAGACAGGUGGUCUUUUGGUUCCAGCCACAGUGUCUCUGUCAGGAUGGAUUUCCCCCCACCCUGAGACAGGAUGCCACUGUGUAGCCCAGUGUAGUGAACACUUGGAAUACAAAAUAAAGAUGGUGGAAUGAGACAUUCCGUCUCCAGUUCCUAACAUCAGAAGUGAGCACCUGUGUGUCACCAGCAACAUAUUGGAGGCCAGCUGCCUACACCAAUCAGAAACAGGGACCACAAAGUCUGCAGGGGUGAGAUAGGCCUUUUCAGUGUCUACGAUUUCAUCAUGGACAUUACUGUCGAUUUCUCUUCCUGCCCCUGUAUGUGCGGGUCUAUCGCCAUCUCGCCAUCUCCGGCUCCUGUGUUAUGAAGACAGUCUCAUGCAGCCCAGACCAAUCUCAAAUUGACUAGGUAAACUGAGGCUGGCCUUGAACCAGUCCCUCCUGCCUCUAUCUCCUGAGAGCUGGGUAACAGCUUCUGGAGCCUCACCCAGCUUCGCUUUCACCACCCCAGCCAAUCCUGUGACUCCUCUUCAUAGCGAGAGCAUUGACACUUAUGUUCUGAGUGUGAAAAAAAAAAAAAAAUCACAUAGUACUUCCUACUAGAACCUUGCCCGGGUCAACUGAAGUGUGUGUGUUUGCUUACCAGUCUGCAGGUUUGCUUAAGUUUGUUUAUUUUAGAGACCAGGUCUUGCUCUGUUGCCUAAGCCAACUUGAAACUCUUGGGCUCCAACAGUUCUCCUGCUCCAUCUUUCUAGAGCAGCUGGGACUCUAGGCAUGCUCCACUACAGCUGACUGAAGCUUGAAUGAAUGAAUGAAUGAAUGAAUGAGUUACUACCUCUGAGGGACCCUCCUCAUGGCCUUCUCAACUCUGUACUUUAAUUAGUUGCUUAGAGGUGUCUCCAUGCCUCAGUUUCCCCAUCUGUAAUAGUAAACGAGUUCACAGGCGUGGUCUGUGCUUGGAGCAAGAACAAAACCAUCCUGGCCUAUACUCUCUAGGGACUCUACAGAGCCCAUCCCUUUGGCUAUCAGACUGUUGAGAUAAAGGUUCCCCCAGGAAUCGGAAUCCCCUCCGACAGGAGUCUCAUGCUCAGAGAAGAAAAAAAGCUGAAGCCUGCUGACAGCCAGAGAGGGUACUUGUCUGUCAGGGAAAAAUUCUACACAGGACAGACUGGAGCCCAGACUGGUCUGGGUCAGUGACACACGGCACAGCACACGGUGGGACAACCUGGCUGUGCAUCUCUCUCAAACCUCAACCUCAGUCUGAAGAUGGAUUGGGGGGGGGGGUCCCUGGACCUCAUUACUUGUCACCCUUCUCACUGUGGCCACAGCGAAGCGAAUACAUCUCUCUGCUUUUCAC
rnacentral:lncRNA from 1 species